AUGCUUGCUUUGGCAACACACAUAUUAAAUUUGAAUGAUUUAGAGAAUUUUAACACGGCCCCUGCACAAGGAUGACAUGAAAAUUCAUAAAGUAUUCCAUAUUUUU
rnacentral:snRNA from 1 species